rnacentral:rRNA from 1 species
CCGGAGCUAAUACCGGAUAUGACACCAAUCCGCAUGGGUAUGGUGUGGAAAGUUUUUCGGUCUGGGAUGGACUCGCGGCCUAUCAGCUUGUUGGUGAGGUAGUGGCUCACCAAGGCGACGACGGGUAGCCGGCCUGAGAGGGCGACCGGCCACACUGGGACUGAGACACGGCCCAGACUCCUACGGGAGGCAGCAGUGGGGAAUAUUGCACAAUGGGCGAAAGCCUGAUGCAGCGACGCCGCGUGAGGGAUGACGGCCUUCGGGUUGUAAACCUCUUUCAGCAGGGAAGAAGCGAAAGUGACGGUACCUGCAGAAGAAGCACCGGCUAACUACGUGCCAGCAGCCGCGGUAAUACGUAGGGUGCGAGCGUUGUCCGGAAUUAUUGGGCGUAAAGAGCUUGUAGGCGGUUUGUCGCGUCUGCUGUGAAAAUCCGGGGCUCAACCCCGGACUUGCAGUGGGUACGGGCAGACUAGAGUGUGGUAGGGGAGACUGGAAUUCCUGGUGUAGCGGUGGAAUGCGCAGAUAUCAGGAGGAACACCGAUGGCGAAGGCAGGUCUCUGGGCCACUACUGACGCUGAGAAGCGAAAGCAUGGGGAGCGAACAGGAUUAGAUACCCUGGUAGUCCAUGCCGUAAACGUUGGGAACUAGGUGUGGGUCUCAUUCCACGAGAUCCGUGCCGCAGCUAACGCAUUAAGUUCCCCGCCUGGGGAGUACGGCCGCAAGGCUAAAACUCAAAGGAAUUGACGG